ensembl:lncRNA
AUUGUUAUUUUAUUUAUUUUUAUUUUUUGGCCAUGCCAUGUGGCAUGUGGGAUCAUAGUUCCUUGAUCCAGGAAUCAAGCCUGUGCCCCCUGCAUUGGAAGUGAGGAGUCUUAACCACUGGAUCACCAGGGAAGUCCCAGAUGAUAUUUUUUUUUUAUACUAGAUAGGGAGAGUGUCUUAUGUUGAAAUGUAAUUGUUUUAUUUGUUUACCCUUGUCUUAAUUUGUCUGCAUAUUUGCUUACUGAAGAUGUAACUGUCUUAUUUAUUUGCGUUUGUCAGGGAUUUGAGCACCCUUCCUACAAUCCUCUUCCUUCAAGCCCCUGCUCUCUCACUGGUAUUUGACCGCAUCAUAGGCAUCUAGUACACAGCCAUCAGCGGCUAGUUAUCAGAAUAAAACUGACCUAUUUCCAACUAGUCAAUGGGUUGAGUUACCAGGUCCUGCAGAUUUUUACUUCGCAGCACUUCUCAGUUCUGACCCCUCAUUUGUUUCUAUUUCCAACAUCACUGCCAGUCUAGGCUCUAGUCUGCAACGUGACUGGACUACUUCUGUCCUGUGUACUGCUGUUCACUGCCCACAGUGCUGUCAGACUAAUUUCCUAAUGUGGCACUUCAACUCUCACCAUUUCCCCUCUUAAAGCACAGCUAGGGUUUCUUAUUACCCACUGAGUAGGUGCCAGCUUCUCAAUCUGGCAUUUAAGCUGCUCAUAAUAUAGCUCUAAACCAUCAACUAUUCAUUGAAAAAACACUUCUGAGCCUCCCUCCCACACUUGGAUGGGUUCUGGGGACAUAGUGACAAAGAGGACAGAAAGAGCCUUUGCAUCAUGGGUCUUAUAUUCUAAUGAGAGAGGAUGAGGAAGACAGAUGUUAUAGAGCUUAUGACAGAAUAAAUAUUUAUUGAUAAUUGUGCAAUGAGCUACAAAGGAGAAACACUGAGUGCUUAGGGAGGUGAGUUACAGGCACGUAAAAAGUCAGAGAAGGCUGGCUGAUUUCUGAAAGAUGUUCCUAAGCAUGAGCAAGAGUUUCUCAGGUCAAGUGAGGUUAGGGAGAGUGGGGAUGGGUAAGUGAAUGGUGAGAAUCAGGCAGAAGGAACAGCCUUGGGGAGGAAUAAGGUCCGCAGGAAAGGGGUUAAGAGCACAGCUCGUAUGAAUGAGGAGGUGAGGGGCAGGAGAGAGCUGGCGAGGAAUAAACGGUGCUCCUACAGUGAGCAGGCCUGGGAAAGAGUUUGGACACUGGGAAACUUUGAGUAAGGCGUAACACGACCAAAUCUGAGUUUUAGUAAGUCACUUCCUGCAGUGGGAGAAAGGUCUGGAGUCAGUCCUGGGUACACGCAGGUAGAUCAAUUAAGAAUCUCUUGCAAAAGCCCAGGCUUGACAUGACUGUUGCUUGGUCUCAAUAGUACAGAAGAGGAGAAGUCAGAUUUGAGAAAUACCUUUGAGGUAGACGGGGUGGACUUUGGAGGUUGGACAUCCCAUCAGACCCAUUCAGUUGGGUCUGAAUUUGGACAUUCAGAUAAGGAAGCAGCAGAAUAGAUGCUGGGGUGGUGGUGACAUUCUCCAAAAUAGGGAAUACUCGAGAAAGACCAGAUUUGCAGUGAAAUAUUUGAGUUUAGUUUUUAUAAGGCAUUCAAAUAGUAACUUUUUAGUAUGCAAAUAAAUUGAAAGGCAGUAUUGUAUAGUGAUUAAAAGCAUGGCCUCUGAACCCUGACUACCUCUUAGCAGCCAUGUGACCGUGAGAAAUUUUUUUUUAAACAUUUUGUGCCCCUGGUUUUUUCAUCUGGAGAUCAUAACAAUGGUACUUAGCCUUAUAAGUUUCCUGUGAGGCCCAAAGGAGUUUAGCAUAGGUAAAGCACUUGGAUUGGUACCAUUUGCAGAGGUGAAUUACCGUAUUAGAGUUAGUCACCACUAUAAUUUAAAUACAAGUUCAAGGCUCAGAGAAGUUGAGGCUGCUUCUAUAAUUUGGGGGCUUCCUCAUGAUGUGGUCAGUGAAGAUGCAGGUGGUGCUGAAGCUGUUUGGGAGCGGUACUAAGGAAGGAGGGAAAAGAGCCUGCCUCCAGGUCUCCAGGAGACCAAGCACGGACUGAACAUGGGGAGAGCCAGAGUGCCUGAGACUGAACGGAACAGACAGACGGAAGUGCAGAUGCAGAGAGAAGAGGGGGCUUUGUGGAGGAGGAGGGAGUCUUUGGAGAGCUGGGUGCUGUUCAGAGUAGUUGACUGCUAAGACUGGAAAGUUCAUGGCUGAUGGAGCAAGCCACUGAAAGCUUUUGAAGUAUUAGGUGGUAUGGUGAUUAAGUCACUAAGUCGUGUCUAACUCCUGCUACCCCAUGGACUGUAGCCCACCAGGCGCCCCUGUCCAUGGGAUUUCCCAGGUAAGAGUACUAGAGUCGGUUGCCAUUUUCUUCUCCAGGGUGGUGCGGUUGAGGUUGAAACCAGCUUGAAGUGUGAGAAAAGAGGGAGAUAGUAAGUGGGAGCAAAUCGUUUGAGAAGAUUGGCUUUUCAGAGAAGGAAACUUCAACCAAUAACACAGGGCUUCCCACCGGCUAAGUGUGGGCCAAUUGUUACGGACCCUAAAGAGUCAAUGGCACCCCACGCCAGUACUCUUGCCUGGAAAAUCCCAUGGGUGGAGGAGCCUGGUAGGCUGCAGUCCAUGGGGUCGGGAAGAGUCAGACACAACUAAGAGACUUCACUUUGACUUUUCACUUUCAUGCAUUGGAGAAGGAAAUGGCAACCCACUCCAGUGUUUUUGCCUGGAGAAUCCCAGGGACAGGGGAGUCUGGUGGGCUGCCGUCUAUGGGGUCGCACAGAGUCGGACACGACUGAAGUGACUUAGCAAUAGCAGCUAAAGAGUCAAAAGUCCCUUUUGGGUCGAUGGAGAGCACUGUCAGGCCGUUGGUCAUGGCUUUCAUGGAUGGAGGAGGUAACCUCAGGGUUCUGCACUGGCUGAGUCCAGCAUUGGUGGACGUGGUCUGUCUUGGCUGGGUUGCUGUAGGGUUCGGUGGUCCUAACUAAGCAUGGCUAAUGAGAUCUCACCACAUGAAGAAGACGAUGAUACACCAUGGGCUGGGGAACAUGCGGACAGGCUCUUUGUAGCCAGUAAGCUGGACCACUGACUCAGAAGGAAACUGGCCUCCCAGACUUUGAAGACUUUGGGCUCAAAUGCUUGGGUUUAGCAACAGCAUCCCUCUUGUCUGUCAUAGGUAUGGUGGAGACCUCAGAUCAAAGUGACACCUUAACAGGGGUGUUUUUUAUCACCAAAGGUAAGGAAACCUGGAAGAACAAUCAAGUCCAAUUUGUAAAUAAUGUUUUGUGAGAACAUUCUGAGAUUGGAAAAGCUUUCCUGUAGUAGUCUUGUUGACUGCAAAGUGUGAGCCUUUCCCUGUAGCAUGCUAUAUUUGCUGGUGAUUGUUGGAAUGUGGAGUGAACUACCUCAGGUCAUCUAGUCAUAAUGCCUGGCCACUGUGGGUCUCCAGGCAACUGGGACUCAUAACCAAGACAUUGUUGGAUCUUGUGACGGAGGGAUGCACUGAGAGUGUACACGCUUCCUAUAGUUUCACUCCCUUCAGCCACAAAUAGGAAAUAAACAUAUAGUCAGCUCUCAUUAUUCACAGCAGUUGUGUUCUAUAAAGUUUGUAUAAACACUGAAUGGGCAAAUACUGAACCAUCGCUUCUAGGGAAAUAUAGGCUUAAGUCUCUGUGAACCUCUGGUCAUAUGUUUUUUUUUCAGUGAUCAAUACAUAAUCUCUUUUUAUGUAUGUUUCUGUUUAAAGACACCUUAUUUAAUAUACAGUUGAUUCAUUAACAUUGAAUUUCAUGGCCAACAGGACUAGAAUUCACCCCUGAGUGAAGCUUAUCUAACACAGGUACCUUCCUUGUGAGACUCAUCACAGUUUUCCAGAACUCAGGAACACUAGCCAGCCCUUCAGGACUAUGCUUGGGGGCAUUUUAGACAGUGAAAUCACCAGCAAAAAGCACAAAAAUGUGAACAGGGUGACACUAAAUAUACCAUGAAAAGGACACUUGUUUACUGUAUGAGAGCUGAGAUAAGAAGACAGGUGUUAUCUGUUCAACCUCAGCUGGGAACACGCAUGUCAGGCAGCUCAAAAUCCACCCCCCCCCACUCUGUACAUGUGCAUAGAUGACUGUGAAAGCAGGGUAGAUAUUGAUACUGGGGUUGCAAGUAAAUUUUAGUGAGUAGAUGAAUUCACAAAUAUGGAAUCCGUGAAUAAUGAGAAUCUACUGUGUAUUAGCAUUUUCAGCUUUCAUGGAUGUCUAUAAUUUGGAUUGGUUGAAGUUGAUUAUUCUAACCAUUUAACACACCUUCUCACACUGAGAUUCCAUCUUUGUCCUGGUUGUUGUUGUUUAGUUUCUAUGUUGUGUCUGACUCUUUUGAGACCCCAUGGACAGUAGCCUGCCAGGCUCCUCUGUGAGUGGGAUUUCCCAGGCAAGAAUACUGGAGUAGGUUGCCAUUUCCUUUUCCAGGGAUUGAACCCAUGUCUCCUGCAAUGGCAGGUGGAUUCUUUAUCACUAAGACACCAUGAAAGCCCCAGCCAUCUCACUAGUUGCUUUUAAUAUGUAACACAGAUUGUCCUGGGAUCAAAAUCAAAUCAGUGCAAAUGCCUAUGCGCUUUUCAUAUAUGGAUGAAAUAUGGUGGGGAGAUAUUCAGAAAGAUGGAAAGACGCCAGAAGUUUCAUCUACAGCCUUCUUCUGAUGACGAGUUUCUACCACCCUCAGCAGACUGUUGGGCCAAUUCCACGGUGCCCUCCUGGAUGCUUUAUUUACUCUCAGAGGAUGUCUUCAGAGGUUCAUUCUUUCUUCAGACACACAUAAAAGAAGCUCUCUUUCAAACCAUGGGGGAAAAAACUGAGCAAGAAUUUGUUGGACAAGUUUUGCUGUAGUAGGAUAAAGAGGAGUCCAGAUUCUUUGCUGCUGCUCCCUUUGAGAGAAGGAGUCUAAUUGUCCACCCCUUGAAUUGGACUGGUCUUCUGUGGAUUUACCUGAUUAAUAGAAGUGAAGUUCUGGAACUUCUGAGAUUAGCUCAUAAGAAAUCUUGCAGCUUUCUCCUAGACAUAUUGGAAUAGUCACUCUUGAAAUAGGGCCACUUUGUUGUGAAGAAGUCCCAGUAUCCCACGGAGAGGUCUAAGAAGAGGUGGGGAAAACAGACUCCUAGAUCACAGUCCUGGCUAAGCUCCCAAUUGAAAACCAGCAUCAGCUUGCCCUGCAUGUGAGUGGAGUGCACUGUCUCAACGUGGAUCUGCCAGCCCUAGCUGAAGACACUUGGAGCAGAGAUGAACCAUCUCCACUGACUUCUACCCUAAUUAUAGAUUCCUGAACAAAAUAAACAAUUAUUUUUGUUUUCAGCCACUGUAGUUUUGGAUGGUCUGUUAUUAAGCAAUAUAUAACCAAGACGCUUACAAGAAAAAGUAAGACAGGCUCAAGAAUGCUGUAAUACUAGAUGGAGGCUUUAAGAGCUAAUAGACCUUCAGUUAAACUCAUAUUAAUCACUCUAUCCCCAUUAUGGUGCUCAAAAAUGCCUAACAAAUGAAUGAAUGAAUGACCAGUUCAUUUCUUAUCCCUUUAGAAUACUCAGGGAAUAAGAAGAAAUGCUUAAGUUGUUCUUUUCUAGGAAUAUGAUUUCAAGCUUUGAGCCUGUUUCUUUGGAACAUCCAGAAAAAUCCUAGAAUCAAAGGGUUGAAAGGUAACAUGUGUAAUUUG